GCGAGAAAACUUUGCAAUGUGCGAAAGCACGACAAGGUUAAUCCGAGUGGUUUCUGCUAAAGAAACCUUUUGUCAGUCCUAGAAACACUAACGAAUAAGGGGUGGGCAAGUUCUGGUGUCAGCCGCCGCGGUAAAACCAGCACCUCAAGUGGUCAGGAUGAUUAUUGGGCCUAAAGCAUCCGUAGCUCGUUUUGUAAGUUUUCGGUUAAAUCCAUACGCUUAACGUAUGGGCUGCCGGGAAUACUGCAUAACUAGGAAGUGGGAGAGGUAGACGGUACUCGGUAGGAAGGGGUAAAAUCCUUUGAUCUAUUGAUGACCUCCUGUGGCGAAGGCGGUCUACCAGAACACGUUCGACGGUGAGGGAUGAAAGCUGGGGGANCAAACCGGAUUAGAUACCCAAGUAGUCCCUGAGCGGGCUGGCAAGGCGCAU
rnacentral:rRNA from 1 species